rnacentral:rRNA from 1 species
GAUGAACGCUAGCGGUGCGCCUAAUACAUGCAAGUCGAACGAAUUAGUAGCAAUAUUAAUUAGUGGCAAACGGCUGAGUAACACGUUGGUACCUGCCCCAGACUCAGGGAUAAUUCCUCGAAAGAGGAACUAAUACCGGAUAGUUCUCGCAAGAGUAAAGUCGAAAGACGGUUUGGGAGGGGCCUGCGGCCCAUCAGCUUGUUGGUAGUGUAAAAGACUACCAAGGCUAUGCCGGGUAGCUGGUGUGAGAGCAUGACCAGCCAGAAUGGGACUGAGACACGGCCCAUACUCCUACGGGAGGCGGCAGUAGGGAAUCUUCCGCAAUGGACGAAAGUCUGACGGAGCAACGCCGCGUGAACGAAGAAGGCCUUCGGGUCGUAAAGUUCUGUUGUUAGGGAAGAACAAGUACCAGAGUAACUGCUGGUACCUUGACGGUACCUAACCAGAAAGCCACGGCUAACUACGUGCCAGCAGCCGCCGUAA